rnacentral:rRNA from 1 species
AAGCGGUGGAGUAUGUGGUUUAAUUCGACGCAACGCGCAGAACCUUACCUAGGCUUGACAUCCGGGAAUUUGCUGGAAACAGUGAAGUGCUUUCAUUAGAAAGAGCCCGGUGACAGGUGCUGCAUGGCUGUCGUCAGCUCGUGUCGUGAGAUGUUGGGUUAAGUCCCGCAACGAGCGCAACCCUCGCCUUUAGUUGCCAGCAUUCAGUUGGGCACUCUAAAGGGACUGCCGGUGUCAAACCGGAGGAAGGUGGGGAUGACGUCAAGUCCUCAUGGCCUUUAUGUCUAGGGCUACACACGUACUACAAUGGCAGGUACAAAGGGCAGCGACACAGCGAUGUGAUGCGAAUCCCGAAAAGCCUGUCUCAGUCCGGAUCGGAGUCUGCAACUCGACUCCGUGAAGUUGGAAUCGCUAGUAAUCGUGGAUCAGCAUGCCACGGUGAAUACGUUCCCGGGCCUU